rnacentral:rRNA from 1 species
CCCUUAGAUGUUCUGGGCCGCACGCGUGCUACACUGAGUGGAUCAGCGGGUCAGGUUGCGCGAAAGCGUUUCCUAAUCUUUAAAUCCGCUCGUGAUGGGGAUCGACGGUUGCAAUUUUCCGUCGUGAACGAGGAAUACCUUGUAGGCGCAUGUCAUCAUCAUGCGCCGAAUACGUCCCUGCCCUUUGUACACACCGCCCGUCGCUCCUACCGAUUGAGUGAUCCGGUGAGGCUCUGGGACCUGGACGGAAAGAGCGUUUCGCUUGUUCUGUUUGGGAAACUUGGUCGAACCUUAUCAUUUAGAGGAAGGAGAAGUCGUAACA